UCCCGUUUGACACGGGCAGUCCCUCUAGAGUGCCCAACUAAAUGAUGGCAACUAGAGGCAAGGGUUGCGCUCGUUGCGGGACUUAACCCAACAUCUCACGACACAAGCUGACGACAGCCAUGCAGCACCUCUACGAGUGUCCUUGCGGAAGCUCUCUUUCGAGAGUGGUCACUCGCUGUUCAAGCCUGGGUAAGGUUCUUCGCGUUGCGUCGAAUUGAACCACAUGCUCCACCGCUUGUGCGGGCCCCCGUCAAUUCCUUUGAGUUUUAGCCUUGCGGCCGUACUCCCCAGGCGGGAUGCUUAAUGCGUUAGCUUCGGCACGGACGGAGUCGACACCGCCCACACCUAGCAUCCAUCGUUUACGGCGUGGACUAC
rnacentral:misc_RNA from 1 species